UACGGGAGGCAGCAGUAAGGAAUAUUGGUCAAUGGACGAAAGUCUGAACCAGCCAUCCCGCGUGCAGGAUGACUGCCCUAUGGGUUGUAAACUGCUUUUAGUAGAGAAGAAACGCAGUCAUUUAUGAUUGCCUGACGGUACCUACAGAAUAAGCACCGGCUAACUCCGUGCCAGCAGCCGUGGUAAUACGGAGGGUGCGAGCGUUAUCCGGAAUCACUGGGUUUAAAGGGUGCGUAGGCGGGGAAUUAAGUCAGUGGUGAAAUCUUGUCGCUUAACGAUAAAAUUGCCAUUGAUACUGAUUUUCUUGAAUUGGGUUGAGGUUAGCGGAAUGUGACAUGUAGCGGUGAAAUGCAUAGAUAUGUCAUGGAACACCAAUUGCGAAGGCAGCUAGCUGGGCCUUGAUUGACGCUGAGGCACGAAAGCGUGGGUAGCGAACAGGAUUAGAUACCCUGGUAGUCCACGCCCUAAACGAUGCUAACUCGAUGUUUGGCCGUAAGGUUGAGCAUCCAAGGGAAACCGAUAAGUUAGCCACCUGGGGAGUACGACCGCAAGGUUGAAACUCAAAGGAAUUGACGG
rnacentral:rRNA from 1 species